rnacentral:rRNA from 1 species
AGUUUGAUCCUGGCUCAGGAUGAACGCUGGCGGUAUGCUUAACACAUGCAAGUCGAACGAAAGUUUUUAACUUUAGUGGCGAACGGGUGCGUAAUACGUGAGAAUCUGCCCUUAGGAGAAGAAUAACUGCUGGAAACGGCUGCUAAAUCUUCAUAUGUCGAGAGAUGAAAUAGCUUAGGCUGCCUAAGGAUGAGCUCACGCCUGAUUAGCUAGUUGGUGAGGUAAUGGCUCACCAAGGCCACGAUCAGUAGCUGGUUUGAGAGAACGAUCAGCCACACUGGGACUGAGACACGGCCCAGACUCCUCCGGGAGGCAGCAGUGAGGAAUUUUCCGCAAUGGGCGAAAGCCUGACGGAGCAAUACCGCGUGAGGGAUGAAGGAUUUUGGUCUGUAAACCUCUUUUCUCAAGAAAGAAGUUCUGACGGUACUUGAGGAAUAAGCAUCGGCUAACUCCGUGCCAGCAGCCGCGGUAAUACGGGGGAUGCAAGCGUUAUCCGGAAUCAUUGGGCGUAAAGCGCCUGUAGGUUGUUUAAUAAGUCUGUUGUUAAAGACUAGGGCUUAACCCUAGAAAAGCAAUGGAAACUACUAGACUAGAGUAUGGCAGGGGUAGAGGGAAUUUCUAGUGUAGCGGUGAAAUGCGUAGAUAUUAGAAAGAACACCGGUGGCGAAAGCGCUCUACUGGACCGUUACUGACACUCAGAGGCGAAAGCUAGGGUAGCAAAAGGGAUUAGAUACCCCUGUAGUCCUAGCCGUAAACGAUGGAUACUACAUGUUGUGCAUUAUGUACAGUAUGGUAGCUAACGCGUUAAGUAUCCCGCCUGGGGAGUACGCUCGCAAGGGUGAAACUCAAAGGAAUUGACGGGGGCCCGCACAAGCGGUGGAGCAUGUGGUUUAAUUCGAUGCAACGCGAAGAACCUUACCAGGACUUGACAUACUACAAAUUCUUUUGAGAAAAAGAAGUGCCUUCGGGAAUGUAGAUACAGGUGGUGCAUGGCUGUCGUCAGCUCGUG